rnacentral:lncRNA from 1 species
UCAUCUGUUCUUACAUGCUGUCUACUUUAUUCAUUAGAGCCCUUAGCAUAUUAAUCACUAUUGUCUUAACUUCCUGAUUUGAUAAUUCCCACAUGUCAUCCCUGCCAUGUCUGGUUCUGAUGUUUGCUCUGUAUUUUCAAAUUGUAUUUUUUGCCUCUUGUUAUGCUUUGUAAUUUUUUCUUGUUAGCCAGACAUGAUUGUACUGGGUAAAAGAAACUGCUGUAAAUAGGACUUUAGUACUGUGGUAGUGAGGUGUGGGGCGGGGGAAGGGAAGCAGUCUAUAGUCCUAUCAUUUGGUCUUAGUCUUUAGUGAACCUGGGCCUCAGGACUGUGAACUUUGCAGGUUUUUUUCAGUUUUCUUCACCCCCUUAGGUGGGAUAGGAUGACUAAAGUGGGCUGGAGUUGGGUUAUUCCAGGCCAAUUAGGCCCUUAGUAUCCCAGCAGGUUAGGAUGUGGUUAAUGAAUUUUCCCUGAGGGCAGGUCUUGUUAAGAGCAGAGUGCUCUGGCUUAUUUCAAAAUGGUUCCUUUCCUCCCCCUCCUCCUGCUUGGAAGCACAAGGGGUUUUUCCUCUGAUGUUUACUGUGGAACCUAUUUAUGCUCUUGGAGGUAAAACUAAUGAAAAUGUGAGGGUCCCCUUAUGACUGGUACUCCUGGGGUUCUUAACUCUCAGACUUGUCCACACUGAGCAUCCUGCAAGUCAGUCAGUUACAGUUGAGGUUUUUCUACUCUGGCACUGGUUCCCAUGGUUUUGACUCAUGAGUCUCUGCUGAGGUAAGUUGUGACUGAGUGUAUUCCCUAGUCUCUUUCUCCAGCCUUGGGGGCAGUGGUUUGCCUUGGGUCCUCACCUCUCUUGGGUCCAAGAAGAGUUGUUUUUCAGUUUGUUCAGCUUUUUAAUUGUUAGGUUAGAGUGGCGAAUUAAGUCCCCCAGAUUCUUUUAAGAGAAUUGAAUUCUUGCAGUCAAUAUUUUUAUAUAAUGUUGAAGUAUUCAGUUCCUUUUAACUAAGUUGCUAAUUUUUAUUUUAAAGAGACGAUUAGUAACAUGGAAUGUCUUUGAAAUGAGAGUAAUAAUCCUUAUUAUCCUUAGCAAAGCACAAGAAAGAAGUUGAAAAGCAUUUACCAAAAAUGAAUAUCCAGAACAGAAUUUUGAAUGUGAUGAUAUUUAAUGGUAUUAUAAUGAAGUCUUUGUUCUUUCCACAUAAGCUUUGUAAGUUUACAUGUCAAUGUAAAAUACUUAUGUUUUGUAUUUUCUAUCAGUGGUAGGUAUAUUUAGUGUUCAUUUUGUGAUGUGUGCUCUUUCUUUUUUCUUUUUUAAUUCUGUAUUCAAGUUAGGAAGAGGAAUUAAACCAAAGUGCUUUCUUAUAUGUGUGUUUUAAGUUACGGUUUCUUGUUCGUUGCUCAGACUUGUGAUACUGGGUAGAGGUUGAACUCAAUGAAACUGAAAACCAGGUGAAUUAGGUGGAGAACUACAGACUCACAUAAGAUUCCCAGUUAGUGACCUUUUAGCUCCAGGUCUUUUAGCUCCGACAGCUGUCUUAAAGCACUGUUUAUCUUGCUUUUGGAUAGUAUUGGUCCUGCUGUCUUUAGUUUUGGUUUGCAUGGAUUUGUGAAAAGACUAUUUUGGCAGUUAAGAGUUCGUGGGUUUUUUUUGUGUUUUUUUUUUUUUUGUUGUUGUUGUUUUUUAACCAUUGCAUUAUAUUUUCACCUAAAUGGUAAUAGAAGAAAACACUUGAAAAGAAAGUCAAGUUAUAUACAGGUAUACAGUCUUUUCUAUAGUUCUCUUAAACAUGGUUUAUUACUAAAGCACAAAUGUAAACUAACAUUUGAUUUUUUGUUUUCUUGGCCACAUCUACAACCUGUGAAAAUUCCCGGGCCUGGGAUUGAACCCUAGCUGCAGUGACAGUGGUAAAUCCUUAAUCACUAGGCCACCAGGGAACUUCUUAAAUUAACAUUUUAAAUAAAGCAUAUUUACCAAAUGUGGUAAGACCAGUUGCUCCCAAAGAAUUAUGGUAAAACCAUAUUAAGGUUAUAUUCCUUUUUCUGGUGCUACUUGGACUGUGCAACAGUAUGGGGAAGGAAACACCUGGUUUUUGCAGCCUAGGACCGCCCUUUCUGUCACUACCACUGCCAAAGAAAUGAAAAGUUAAGAUGUUUCCUUACCUCGCAGAAUGCUACAAAGCAGAUGGUAGUAGCUAGCCGUACCAUGCCAAAAGGUAAUGAAAGAUUCAAAAGCAGGGAAACCGUUGUUGCAAACAAACUCUGUGCCCUUUCCCAUUACUUUCACUUUACUUACUCGGAACCUACUCAUUCCUCAGGAGAGACCCAUCUCAAUUGUUACCUCCUCUGUGAAGCAGGCUUUGCUGUCCUCAGCUGGAAGUCAUUUUUCCUUUUUCUGCAGUAUCACAGCACAUACUCUCUAAAAGCCUUAGUAUUUCCUGCAUUUACAUUUGUUAUUUAGUUAUUUGCCUUAUGUUUCCUGCUAGAUUUUACGUUUUCUUUAAGGACAGUUUUUGCUUUGCAUUCUGGGUAACACUUGGUACAUAAUUCCAAUUUAUGUUCAAUGAGUUAAUGAAGACAGAUCGACAAACUGAGAAAACUAAAAAUGAAAGUCCUCUCUUGUAUUUAUGUUUGUUUAAGUUUCAGCUUCUCGUUAACUGCUUGGAGUUGUGAUAUUAGGUGGAGGGCUGUUCAAUAUAGUCUGUAAUAAUCACAUAUUCCUGUUAUAAUAUAAUGAUUAAAAUGGUAGCACCAGAGUACCCCUUGUGGCGCAGCAGAAGCAAAUCCAACUAGGAACCAUGAGAUUGCGGGUUCGAUCUCUGGCCUUGCUUAGUGGGUUAAGGAUCUGGCAUUGCCAUGAGCUGUGAUGUAGGCUGCAGAUGCGGCUCGGAUCUGGUGUUGCUGUGGCUCUGGCGUACGCUGGCAGCAAUAGCUCUGAUUAGAAUCCCCCAGCCUGGGAACCACCAUAUGCCACCGGUGCGGCCCUAAAAGGACAAAGACAAAAAAAAAAAAAAAA